rnacentral:rRNA from 1 species
GACGAACGCUGGCGGCGUGCUUAACACAUGCAAGUCGAACGGAAAGGCCCUGCUUUGGUGGGGUGCUCGAGUGGCGAACGGGUGAGUAACACGUGAGUAACCUGACCUUGACUGUGGGAUAACUUCAGGAAACUGGGGCUAAUACCGGAUAGGAGCUCCUGCUGCAUGGGGGGGGUUGGAAAGUGUCGGCGGUGGGGGAUGGACUCACGUCGUAUUAGCUUGUUGGUGGGGUAAUGGCUUACCAAGGCGUUGACCGGUAGCCGGUGUGAGAGGGUGGCCGGCGACACGGGAGCGUGGACAGGGCCCAGGCGCCUACGGGACGCAGCAGUGUCGUAUGGUGGGCAGCGGGGGGGAAUAUUGUCCAACGGGCCCGCGCGUGAGGUAGAGGCCUCCCGGUUGGAAUGCACGUCUUCGAGUUGAGAACCGCUUCCGCCUGUGACCCCGUGUGAGUGACGGUACCUGCUGAAGAAGCACCGGCUAACUACGUG